UGCAGUCGACGAUGAUCCGGUGCUUGCGCCGGGGAUUAGUGGCGAACGGGUGAGUAACACGUGAGUAACCUGCCCUUGACUCUGGGAUAAGCCUGGGAAACUGGGUCUAAUACCGGAUAUGACUCCUCAUCGCAUGGUGGGGGGUGGAAAGCUUUUGUGGUUUUGGAUGGACUCGCGGCCUAUCAGCUUGUUGGUGAGGUAAUGGCUCACCAAGGCGACGACGGGUAGCCGGCCUGAGAGGGUGACCGGCCACACUGGGACUGAGACACGGCCCAGACUCCUACGGGAGGCAGCAGUGGGGAAUAUUGCACAAUGGGCGCAAGCCUGAUGCAGCGACGCCGCGUGAGGGAUGACGGCCUUCGGGUUGUAAACCUCUUUCAGUAGGGAAGAAGCGAAAGUGACGGUACCUGCAGAAGAAGCGCCGGCUAACUACGUGCCAGCAGCCGCGGUAAUACGUAGGGCGCAAGCGUUAUCCGGAAUUAUUGGGCGUAAAGAGCUCGUAGGCGGUUUGUCGCGUCUGCCGUGAAAGUCCGGGGCUCAACUCCGGAUCUGCGGUGGGUACGGGCAGACUAGAGUGAUGUAGGGGAGACUGGAAUUCCUGGUGUAGCGGUGAAAUGCGCAGAUAUCAGGAGGAACACCGAUGGCGAAGGCAGGUCUCUGGGCAUUAACUGACGCUGAGGAGCGAAAGCAUGGGGAGCGAACAGGAUUAGAUACCCUGGUAGUCCAUGCCGUAAACGUUGGGCACUAGGUGUGGGGGACAUUCCACGUUUUCCGCGCCGUAGCUAACGCAUUAAGUGCCCCGCCUGGGGAGUACGGCCGCAAGGCUAAAACUCAAAGGAAUUGACGGGGGCCCGCACAAGCGGCGGAGCAUGCGGAUUAAUUCGAUGCAACGCGAAGAACCUUACCAAGGCUUGACAUGGACCGGAUCGCCGCAGAAAUGUGGUUUCUCCUUUGGGGCCGGUUCACAGGUGGUGCAUGGUUGUCGUCAGCUCGUGUCGUGAGAUGUUGGGUUAAGUCCCGCAACGAGCGCAACCCUCGUUCCAUGUUGCCAGCACUUCGGGUGGGGACUCAUGGGAGACUGCCGGGGUCAACUCNGAAGGAAGGUGGGGACGACGUCAAAUCAUCAUGCCCCUUAUGUCUUGGGCUUCACGCAUGCUACAAUGGCCGGU
rnacentral:rRNA from 1 species